GUGUACUCCGGGUUUGAUCCUGCGUGUAUAUCUCAAUUGGACCUGAUAUCAGACAAGACUACCCGCUGAACUUAAGCAUAUCGUGAAAGACGCAGGGGGAAAAC
rnacentral:rRNA from 1 species